rnacentral:rRNA from 1 species
UUGUCCUACGGGAGGCAGCAGUAGGGAAUCUUCCACAAUGGACGAAAGUCUGAUGGAGCAACGCCGCGUGAGUGAAGAAGGGUUUCGGCUCGUAAAUGUCUGUUGGUAGCGAAGAAAGAUAGAGGUAGUAACUGGCCUUUAUUUGACGGGAAUUAAUUAGAAAGUCAAGGCUAACUAAGUGCCAGCAGCCGCGGUAAUAAGUAGGGGGCAAGCGUUGUCCGGAUUUAUUGGGCGUAAAGGGAGUGCAGGCGGGUUAA